GACGAACCGUGCGAACGUUAUUCGGAAUCACUGGGCUUAAAGCGCGUGUAGGCGGGCCGCCGCGUCGGCUGCUGAAAUCCCCCGGCUCAACCGGGGAACGGGCACCGAUACGGGCGGCCUGGAGGGGGGUAGGGGGGCCUGGAACUUCCGGUGGAGCGGUGAAAUGCGUUGAGAUCGGAAGGAACGCCCGUGGCGAAAGCGAGGCCCUGGACCCUUUCUGACGCUGAGACGCGAAAGCCAGGGGAGCGAACGGG
rnacentral:rRNA from 1 species